rnacentral:sRNA from 1 species
CCGUAACGCACUUCUUGGGCGUUUCCUCCCUAAACUCGGGCCGCAUCUUUGCGGCCCGUUUUCUUUUGGGAU